GUUACACUGGGGAAAUCGUGAUGACUCAGUCUCCAGCUUCUUUGGCUGUAUCUCCAGGGCAAAUUGCCACUAUCUCCUGUAGGUCCAGCCAGGGUGUCAUUACAGCUGGUAUUCAUCUUAUGAAUUGGUAUCAACAGAAACCAGGACAGUCCCCCAAACUCUUUAUCUAUGAUGCAUCUAAAGUAGCAUCUGGAGUCCCUGCCAGGUUCAGCGGCAGUGGGUCUGGAACAGACUUCACCUUCACCAUCCAUCUUGUGGAGGCAGAUGAUGUUGCAACCUAUUAUUGUCAGCAAGGUCUAGAGCUUCCUCCAUCAUUCAGCAGGGGGAGCAAGAUGGAGUUACAGACCCAGUUCCUCAUGUCCUUGCUGCUCUGGGUGUCUGGUGCCUGUGCAGAUAUAGUGAUGACCCAGUCUCCAUCCUCCCUGGCUGUGUCUGCAGGAGAGAAGGUCACCAUCAGCUGCAAGUCCAGUCAGAGUCUUUUAAACAAUAACAAGAACGGUUUAGCCUGGUACCAGCAAAAAUCAGGGCAGGCUCCUAAACUGCUGAUUUACUUAGCAUCCACUCGAGGUACUGGGGUCCCUGAUCGCUUCACAGGCAGUGGGUCUGGAACAGAUUUCACUCUCACCAUCAGCAGUGUCCAGGCUGAAGACCUGGCUGAUUACUACUGUCAGCAGCAUUAUAGUAUCCCUCUCACAGUGUUUUAG